rnacentral:rRNA from 1 species
UACGGUGAAAUCACGCUGAAACACCGGUUCUCGUACGAUCACCGAAGUUAAGCAGCGUAGAGCCAGGUCAGUACUUAGAUGGGGGACCGCUUGGGAACACCUGGUACUGUAAG